ACAGCAGCGUCAGAAAGAAGGGGGCUCCCGGGUUUGUGGGCCCAGGUUAGCAUACCCGGGCGUAUCGCAAUGGAGAACCCUGGUGCAGAAGGUGCUGCAAUCUGAAGGAAGGCGGAGCAUGCAGAGGUAGUGAGGCGGUGAGAUGGAAGGAGGAAGAAGAGCAUUCCAGGCGUGGGAGUCAGCCAGCAGAAAGGCUCAGGAAUGGGAGACAAGAUGAGAAAACUGAGGGGGCAAGGAGGGAAGUGACCCGCCCAACAGAAUCCAGGAGGAAAGCGGUGGAAUUAAGAAAGCCUCCAGAGCAGAAACUCCCCACCCCCACCCCCAGAAAGCAAAUACAGUACGGAAACAGGAAGCGAGCUCUCCAGACUGUGGGAAUCUGCCUGCUCUUGUAGAGGGACAUCAUGGGAACACAGUCCCUGCUGGAGGAUGGAUUUGCCUGGGAAGUUUCCCGAAAGAAGAAGCUGGGUCCCCCUUCUGGAGCCACAGACAGGGCUAGUGCAGUGGCGGACUUGGGGUCACGGCACAGGUGAGUAUUGAUGCCAGCACCUCAUCUGGCAGUCCUGCCUGCUCCCCACUCCCCCACGCCAUCUCUGACUGUCCCAUCCUAGUAAAUACUCCCUGGUUAAAAUUUACUGAAGGCUGGCUGAUCUGUUGUUCCAGACUGAAUCAUUUUGGGAGCCAGCGGAGGCUCACGAGGAUGGCAUUAGACAAUUCAUCAUGACUCCUUUAGGAGGAGAUGGACCAGCUCCAGGGUCUGAGGUUUCAUGUGUUACAAUGGAAUAAGAAUCCUCCAAGCUUACGCGUGUUAUAACAGUCAUCAUCAUUUGUGUGUGUCUAACAACACGGAUGGAUAGAAAGAGAAUUCUCUAUCUCCACCUCAUUGUCUUUGCCAGGGAGGCAGGUAUAAUGCAAGGGAGCACCUCUCCCCAGGGCUGAAGACUUGCAUCAUUGCCUUCUCUGGAGGAUAAUAACAUCUGCACUACCAUUUAAAAGCCAUAGAUCAGGAGCUGCAGGGCACCUCUAAGGCUCUCAAGUCCAACCUCUUCACUGAGGAAACUGAGACAAUUUAAGUGACUUUCCUAACAUCACGCUGCUCAUAAAUAUCUGGGGCAGGAUUUGAACCAAGGCUGACUUCAAUUCUAGUGCCCCAUCCACCAUGGCAGGCAGAAAGCAUGAUGGAAAAAGGAUCAGCCUCAGAGUCAGAAAAAUCUCUGACACGCAUGGUUGUCAGAAAAGGAUGGACUUUCCUCACUGGGAAUUCCCUAUAAUGACGCCGUCAAUACAGACAAAAUAAUAGUAAUAACAACAGGAAAGGGGAGAGAGGAGAGGGGAGGAGGGAGGAGGAGAAGGAGAAAAAGGAGGGGAAAGAAGGAAAAUGGACAUAAUUUCAUUAAAAUGGACAGAAGCUAAUCCUUCCUCUCCCACUGCCCUCUGCUUCUUCCAGGGAGGUUGGUGAAUAUCACCUACACCUAAUGCUAUGGGGCGCACCCCCGCCCCAAAGUUGAGCAUCCCCUUCCCAGUCAUAUCCUCCCAAUUGGUCUGAAUUAAUUUUGAAACCCAAGGCCAAAGAAGAGUGCCGUGCGUGUGCAUCCUUAUGUAUCGUAGCCAUGAUUCGGAGAGCAUAAGCAUAGACAGAUGGUUUGCAUUUUUCCUGUUGUAUCUAAACAUGCCCAAGGCUAUGUGUUUGGUUCUUCCCUCCUCCCUUGCUAAGGCCCACAGGGAGUGUCAAUUAGAAGAAUUCUCCUGGUUUCCCUAAUAGCUUUCAGUCCUCAGGGGCCUCCGAGAUCGAGAUCGGGGCAGCUGAACAAAUCUCCGAGGUGCCUUAAUUCACCAUCUUCCCCCAGAAGGCAGACCACGAAGGUCCCUCUGCCGAAGGCUGGGUGGGCCGGGGAGCAGUCUCGAUGUGAAGUCAGAAGAUCUGGGUUCAAAUUCCACUCUGGUCACUGCUAGCUGAGUGACUUCGGCCAAGUUGCUGCACUGGCCUGGGGCUCAGUUUCCUCUGUUAUAAAAUGAAGGGCUAAGGUAGAUGUAGAUGGCUUCUUAUGUCCCUUCCAGAUUUAAAUGUAUAAUUCUGUCUGUUACUCAUGUGGGGGGGCCACAAGCAGAGGGAGAAGAAGGUGUCAAAAUGUCAGCGUUCUAGAUGCCCCUAUUAUAUAAACUGUUGCUUCAUAGCUUUACUUAUUAAAACAAAUUCUCUCUGUCCUGUUAAAUACAAUCAGUGAAUAGCUCCUGUUCCAGUAGAUCUUAAAGGUUCCCCAAGCCCUUUCCUCACCCUACCUGGGAGGUUGGUCGUAGCACAGGCAGUGGGCAGGAGAACCCCAAGACUCUUUCCAUUCCACCCCAGCACUAUCGAUAACUGCUUGUAUUUACGUGGCAGUUUACUGUUUCCAAAGUGUAUUUGUCACUAACAACCCUUCAAAGUAGGAAGUGAAGUAGGAUGAUCCUUAUUUUAUAGAAGAAGAAACUGAGGCACUGAGAGGCAGCAUGAGUCACCCAGGGAGUGCCCGCUGGAGCCGAGAAUAGUGCCCAAGUCUCCUGACUAAGGCCAGCACUCUCCGAUGUUGAUCUGCCUGUGACACGGGGAACGGAGGGAACCACAGCCCCUGGAGGCCUUGGGAAGUGGGACACGGUGCGAGGCGGGGUGUGUUCCCCUGAGACUUGAAAGAGGUCCUGGCUACUCUGAGGUGAGCCCUUAGUAGAAAGCAGCCACACCAGGAGAGGCCCAAACCCUGGAGGGCCAGCCUUUGCUUGUGUCGGUAUUUCACAUCCCGGGCACCUCCCCACCUUGGAGUGGGCUGAGCCUUGGUUCUCCAGCAGAGGCCUGGAAGCCGAGAGAACCCUGCAAUCCUCUUCCAGUCUUCCCUCUUCAAUCAACGUCAAUCAAGCGUUUCUGGGGUGCCUCCUCUGUGCCAGAGGCUCUGCUAAGCUCCUCAGAGUGGGCUCUGCCAUUAGGUCAGCAGUCCCUACACUGAAUCAGGUGGGAGAGGUCUGAGGGAAAGCCCCAGGCCACCUAGAGCUUUCUUCUGGGACUUCAGCUUCACAUGGAGGCAGACAGCUUUGCUAGACCAGUCCUUCAGCCCAACACAAUGGAAAGUCCCUGAGCCAGGUUCACAGAUGUCUAGGAGUAGAGCCAAAGCACGCCUCUGGGCUGAGGCUGGCAGCCCUGCCCCAGUGCUUUCAGACCUCCCUCGAUGGGCCAUGUUGGAGCCAAACGGACGGCAGGAUUAGCGAGAGACUUCUCCAGGGUCCCCUUGCCUGGGGGCGACAACCAGAGGCAAACCAGAGGCAGACCAGGGACGACUGUCGUCCAGAGCCCUGGCCUUGAUCUACAGAGACAAGAUGCAGGGCUCACUCGUGCCAGGCUGAUGUGCUUCCCACAGAGAGGGAUUUAGCAAAACCACAAACAUCUGCAGCCCAGAACCCAUCUGAACAAACCCGAUGGGGAUCAGAUCUGAAGAGCAGCCAAUGGAGAGAGGCUGGGAAGGUUUCUGCCUUCUCCUUUCCCUGGCCCUGCCCUGGCCGCACCCUGGCAAACACAAGCAGCACUCACUGGGCUUCGACCUGGGACCGGUGACAGAAACAAGCAGAGUGCUUGCCUCAAAGGCAGUGAACAGAGGAAGGAGGGCGUUUGUUUCAUUUCUGGCAAGAAGCGCGUGCUGCUCCCAAGGAGAUACGGAAUCGAGAGCAAGCUCUUCUACCUGCCGGUGUGUCAGACACUCUAACGGCUUCAGGUGUGUCAGACAGACUCGUCAAGCACGUGCGGCUGCCAGAGCAGCAGCUGGCUGUCUGUCAGUACUUAUCAUUGAUCUAAUCUAAUAUAACGCAUGUGCUAAUAUACUACUUAUUUUAUUAUUAGUUAGAGAAUACCUGCUAAUCAGGGCGUACUAAUCCACAGGCAUUUUCCCCUUGUUUCGCACUGUGGAGCAUCGCCUGUAGGUACUUCUCAGCUCUAGAUCUAUCCUGUUUUUACAUGAACUUCUGUGGAAACAGACAAUUUCAUGAACAUCUUUUUUCUCACACUGGGAAAGAGAUACAUAUGUGUGUGGUGGGGUGCCCGCUCCAUGCCCGACCCCUGUUGCCCUUUAGGUGGGAUGAAAUUGUGUAUUGCUGCACUAGGGACAGAGGAGAUCAAAAGGGCAGGGGAUGCAACUCAGGGUCUUCCCCCAAGACCCCUUUCCUCUUUGCUCUCCAGGGCCCCACCAUCCUCCCAGUCACUCGCUCUCAAUCUAAGUGUCAUCCUGGACUUCUCAUUCGUACUCAAUUCACAUAACUGAUCAAUUGCCGAACAUUAACAUUUCUAACCCCACGGUAUCUCAGCUGUCUGUCCUCUUCCCUCCACUAACAAGGCAUUUAACAACAUCCUAGCCCCACUCUCCUUCCCUCCUGCCUGAGCUAUUCUAAAGACUUCCUAAUUGGUCACCAUGCCUCACUUCAAUCCAAUCAGUCAGUCAAUCAACAUUGAUCACUUCAGCAUUACUUCAUUCUCUUCCACUCUGAGCCAAAAUAAGAUUCCUAAAGCAUAAUCUGAUCAUAUCCCCUUCAUCAGCCUCCAGGACCCAACAUCAGCUCCUCAAUCCCUCAGGGAGUCUUUCCUGGUCCCCCUGAAUUCAAGCGUCUUGUCCCUUUGAGGGGAUCUCCAAUGUAUCCUCUUCAUAGCUUCUUUAUACAGUCUUUUCCACGUUAUCUCCCCCAUUAGACUGUGAGCUCCUUGAGGGCAGGGGCUCUCUUUUAGUUUUCUUUGUACACCCAGUGUUUAGUAUGGUGCCUGGUGCGUACCAGGUGCUUAAUAAAUGCUUGCUGUCAUUUAAAGUAGGAAUGCCAGACAGACAGGUUGCAACACUGCCGAGUCCAACCUGAACUAGAUUAAAAUGACAUUGGGAAACAUUUAACAUGAUAAAUAAAAACACAAGAGAACAGAUAAUGUUAAUAUGCAGUUUCCUAAGUCAAUGUGUAGCCCCAGGGAUCCUUAGUUGGAUACCAGUGGUAAAGGCGCCUCAGCACCUUUUCGAUUUCCUACAUCGUACUCUUCCCACCCCACCUCCAACCCAGGCAUUCUAUAUCUCCUUGCUGUCUUGUUCUCCAAUACACACACACACACACACACACACACACACACACACACACACACACACCAUCUACCAUUUGCAUUGACUAGCCUUCCCAUACUCUUCUCCAGCUAAGAUUCUCAGAACGAAAGGAGUGCUUAAUAAAUACCUGUUCAUUGAUUGAUUGGUUUAAAGGCCUUCAUGACCCCUUGCUACAUUUCCAUUCUUCUCACACCUUACUCUCCUCCUUGAACUCUACAACUCAGUGGCACUAGCCUCCUGGCUGUCCUUGCACGAAGGUGUGCUAGAACUGCUCAAACCGAGUCUCGAAAGGUGAUUGUUAAAUGCUCAGCAUGAGCAUUUGCACCUUGGAAAUAGACAGUGCUGCAGAUCAGGGUUUGAUUGACUGUUUCGCUGAUUGUCUCAGCUUAAGAAAUCGAGGAAGCAUUUAAUAAUGCAGAUUGAACUUAAAGCUGGGCCAUGAGGAUUUGUUUUCAGUGAGCGGUUGUUAAAUAUCACCAGCACACCAGUGUGCAGGACACUACAUCUUUGGGCUCCAUGAAUUUUCACUGGCUGACCCCCAGGUCUGGAAUUCUCUCUCUCUCCAUGUUCCGGCUUCUUUCAGGUCACAGACAAAGUUACACCUUCUACAAAAUCAUGUCCCGUGAUUAAGCACACUGGUGCAUUGUUGGCACAACCAUUUUGGAAAGUAAUUUGGAAUUACGCACACAAAGUGAUGAAAAUGUCAAUACCCUUUGACCCACUGACUCUGUUACUUGGUUUAGACCCCGAGAAGGUAAUUGAUCUGAAGAAAUUCCUCACAUACACCAAAAUAUUUAUAGCAGCACUUUUAGUGAUAGCAAAGAAUUAGAAGCAAAGUAGAUGCUCAUUGAUUAGGGAUGGCUAAACAAAUUAUAACACAGGGAUGUAAUGGAGUGUUCCUGUUCUGUAAUAAAUGAUCUAUAUGAUGAAUGUGGAAAAGCACAAAAAGCUGGUUAUCUCCA